rnacentral:rRNA from 1 species
GAUGAACGCUGGCGGCGUGCCUAAUACAUGCAAGUCGAGCGAACGGACGAGAAGCUUGCUUCUCUGAUGUUAGCGGCGGACGGGUGAGUAACACGUGGAUAACCUACCUAUAAGACUGGGAUAACUUCGGGAAACCGGAGCUAAUACCGGAUAAUAUUUUGAACCGCAUGGUUCAAAAGUGAAAGACGGUCUUGCUGUCACUUAUAGAUGGAUCCGCGCUGCAUUAGCUAGUUGGUAAGGUAACGGCUUACCAAGGCAACGAUGCAUAGCCGACCUGAGAGGGGGAUCGGCCACACUGGAACUGAGACACGGUCCAGGCUCCUAAGGGAGGCAGCAGUAGGGAAACUUCCGCAAUGGGCGAAAGCCUGACGGAGCAACGCCGCGUGAGUGGUGAAGGUCUUCGGAUCGUAAAACUCUGUUAUUAGGGAAGAACAUAUGUGUAAGUAACUGUGCACAUCUUGACGGUACCUAAUCAGAAAGCCACGGCUAACUACGUG